CUGAAGAGUUUGAUCAUGGCUCAGAUUGAACGCUGGCGGCAGGCUUAACACAUGCAAGUCGAGCGGUAACAGGGGGAGCUUGCUCCCCGCUGACGAGCGGCGGACGGGUGAGUAAUGCAUAGGAAACUGCCCAGUAGUGGGGGAUAGCCCGGGGAAACCCGGAUUAAUACCGCAUACGCCCUUCGGGGGAAAGCAGGGGAUCUUCGGACCUUGCGCUAUUGGAUGUGCCUAUGUCGGAUUAGCUAGUUGGUGGGGUAAGAGCCUACCAAGGCGACGAUCCGUAGCUGGUCUGAGAGGAUGAUCAGCCACAUCGGGACUGAGACACGG
rnacentral:rRNA from 12 species